CUCGUCGUUCCUUUUUCCUAUGCAUAUACUUCUUUGAGAAUCAAACCUAAAGAAGCAUAAGGCAUGGGAAAAUGGGGCGACUGAGAU
rnacentral:pre_miRNA from 14 species